UCGGACGUGGUGUAGGGAACACCGCCAGCCUUCUUGAUGCCACUCCAUUCAUUAACUGGCAGCUCGGGGUUCGACUCCCCGCGUCCGAA